UCACCCGGUGCAGGGCUUGAUGCUUGGUGGAUGCUCGAUAUAAUUUCGUUGAAUAACUGAAUGACUGCGUGAAUGAACAAGCCAGGCAGACAGAAGGAGGGAGAUAUAAAGAGAUGCUAUAUUUGGAAUGGAAAGAAAUUGAGGUGCCUGACCUAUCUGGGGAACAGCCGAAGUUUAUGUUCCAGUUCCUGGUUUGUGAAAAAUUCUUCCAUGAAAUGGUGAUAGCCUGUAAGGUGGUUUUCAUCAAACCUUGAGCAAUUUUAAUGCAAACAAAAUCUCCUCGGUAUCAUUGUUAUUCUAUAAACCUCAAGCCUAUACCCAUCACUUUUCCAUAUCUUUUACAUUCCUAUGAUCACUACUGGAAAGCCCAGAGAUAUGGUGAUAUCAUUAUGCAAAAACCCAAAUAAAAGACACUUCGGAGGCAGUAGCUACAGCCAUGUUCUGAAGCGGUGUCUUCAUGCUGCAGACCAAGUGCUCGCAGAGGUGGACAGGGACACCAGGCUGGAGGCCAGCAGAGAAAGCAAUCUGCGUUUUACCUGGGGUCAGCGAAGGGUGGCUGUGUUAAUGUGCAGGAGAAGGAAAUGUGGCAGGAAGUGAGGGAACGCUGACAGCCCACUGUGGUGUGAGAUGAGGAGGAGACAUGUCCUGUUACUCAGACCCCUGAGAGGACCGAAAAGAGACAAGAGGGAACCCAUAGUGCCAGCCACAGGGGACACAGAGGCAUAGCAUCUACAGAUGGUAUCACCCAGGCUGCGGUCACUCCACACCCAUGCUCGUGGCAGAGAUGAGGGUUGGUGACAAAAGUAUCAGCUACAGCCUCAUACGUGAGAGGAAACAAAGAGGUGCAGUCGAGCCACUGCCUACUAGUUCCCUUCAUUGGUGCCAAGGGAAUAACAUUGCUUGUAUGGUUCUGCACAGAACCUUAAUCUCAUUUGGGCCACUUAAAUGAACACUUCUUUGGCUCUUUCUCAUAUCAGGCUUGCUGCCAGACGCUGGACAUACAAAGAAGAAGCUCACAGUUCCUGCCUUUGAGUUGUGUCCUGCAAUGUUUUGCUGAUGUGAGGAAAUGACAUUUUACUUCACAAGGUGAUAUAAAAGCUCUCACACAAACAGAUUCUGACUAAUUAAAGCGACAAGUUUAUACAAGCUGCAAGUGGGGUGCCAUAUGUCCUAUUCCCUGUCCCAAUGUCACAGAUGGUAAUGACCCCCACCCCCAUGAUGCAUGACCCCCGCAGCAUGCACACUGUGUAUCUCCUUAAAGAGUGUGUAACUGCAUUCCAUAUGACAGGAGGAAGGUGUAAGGCUGUGUGACUUAAAGCUCUCCCUGACUUAUUUGUGCCCAAGAAGCAUUCAAGUUCAAAGGAUUUAGAGACAGAAAAAUUAAAACUAGCAGUAUCAACAGAGAGUGUACAUUGUGGCACAGACUGAUAGAAAUAAAACAGUCAUAGAGAAGGUGAACAUCUCUCUUUAAAUAAUGAGAUGUUUUUGAUGCUUUCAAACAUCGUCCCUCACUUCGGUGGCAAGGAAAUACUUUUUGGCAGUUUUUCUUUUUCCCCAAAGAGAAAGGAACACACCCAAG
ensembl:lincRNA